rnacentral:rRNA from 1 species
CUGGCGGCGUGCCUAACACAUGCAAGUCGAGCGGAGAUAAGUGAAGCCUAGCGAUUCUAUCUAGCGGCGGAUGGGUGAGUAACACGUGGGUAACCUGCCCUGUACUGGGGAAUAACAGCUGGAAACGGCUGUUAAUGCCGCAUAUGCGCACGGAGCCGCAUGACUCCGGGCGGAAAGAUUUAUCGGUACAGGAUGGGCCCGCGCCGGAUUAACUAGUUGGCGGGGUAACGGGCCCACCAAGGUGAUGAUCCGUAGCCGACCUGAGAGGGUGACCGGCCACAUUGGGACUGAGACACGGCCCAAACUCCUACGGGAGGCAGCAGUGGGGGAUAUUGCACAAUGGGGGAAACCCUGAUGCCAGCGACGCCGCGUGAAGGAUGACGUAUUUCGGUAUGUAAACUUCUAUCAGCGGGGAAGAAGAUGACGGUACCCGACUAAGAAGCCCCGGCUAACUACGUGCCAGCAGCUGC